rnacentral:ncRNA from 1 species
GGAGCCUGCGGCUUAAUUUGGCUCAGCACGGGAAGAUUCACCAGGCCAAGACACAGUAAGGACUGACAGAUUGAGAGCUCUUUCCUGAUUUUGAGGAAGGUGGAGCAUGGCCGUUCUUAGUUGGCAGAGUGAUCUGUCUGCUUAAUUGCGACAACGAACGAGAUCUUGACCUGCCAGGCCCGUUUUGGCGGAUCGUCGGCUUCUUAGAGGGAUGAUCGGCUCAAUCUCAUGGAAGUUUGAGGCGAUAACAACUUAACCAUUACACGCAUGUGAUAACGGGGCCCCGACUUACUUUCGUGGGAUUUUCCGCCAGUCGAUCGUCCGUGACCGUUGGGCAAGCGCCCUAGUAUCCAGCAGUCGGGCUGCUGAAGGGCAGCCUAGGAUACAGCAAGACAGCCUGGUUUUGGGACUCCAGUUCAGGCUGAUCAAUCCCGAGGCAAGUUACUAUAGCGAGCACCCGUUAUAAUGCUAAAUCCUUAUUAAUAGAGCUCGUAAGAAAAGGCCUGAUACAUCGAAGCGUACGGGAGUCACCGAGCAAGGUGGCUGACAUGAAUUGUUGUUAAGCUCUUAGAUUUUCAGGGCCGCCUGCACGCUACGCCAACAGAGUAAACGAGUUUGCUACCCUGGCCGGAAGGUCCGGGGGAUUUUUUGAAACUUUCCCGUGCUGAUGAUACAGCACUACAAACUUCUCAGAGUGUCUGGUGUGCUAUAGCCGGCCCUGAGAUUAGCGGCACUUGUGUAGAAU